rnacentral:tRNA from 1 species
GUAGAGAUGGCUCAGUGGUUAAGAGCACUGACUGUUCUUCCAGAGGACCUGAGUUCAAAUCCCAGCAACCACA